rnacentral:lncRNA from 1 species
GAAAACAAUAGGAAGGCAUAUUUUGGUCCUAGAAAAUCUGUAUUCCUCCUAAGUAAAACCUUAGCACCAGAUUUUGUGGUGACAGAAAACAGCCAUAGGUGAGUUCAUAGUGCCCUGAAUUCCAGAGGGAACCCCCUGCCAAAUACCAUGAGGGCAGAUCAAGAGCGUUCUGUUGACUUUGGGAAUGUGUCCCAGCACAUCCUCCUUUCCUUUUAUUUUAAGAUUCCUUGUGAGAGAUGCUGUUAAGGCAGACUUGCUCAUAAGCCACAAAUGCCAUGGCCUUGUGCUGUCAACUAACUCCCCAGGAAUUAGUUCCCCCCAUCUCCCAUCACCCGUGCGCCUCAGCCAUCAGCCCAGAAAUAAGGCAGAGUAUGCUGAGCGAUUCUGUGGAGGAGAAAGAGUACACUGGUCUGAUCGGGAAAAGGAGGACAGAACGGAGGGGAAAGGAAGGACAGCAGGCCAUUGGUCUAUAGAGGAGGCGCUGCCGGUGUGUUCCAGCACCCACAUUCCCACACGGAGGAAAUGUCUUCCAGAAUGUCCACAGUCGAGCUGUAUUUCAUUCAUGCUGCGAUCUACUCUUGGUGAUACCCACAGUCCUUCCUUAGAGAUUCAGGACCAACCAGCAAUACUGAAGGGCCAAGAGUUCAC